rnacentral:misc_RNA from 1 species
AAGUCGUAACAAGGUUUCCGUAGGUGAACCUGGAGAAACAUUGCCUAUAGAACUACCGCUCGAUUGUAACUGUUCCAAUGUUCGCACGUAGCCAGAGGUCUCUGAAUCACUACAACUUUCCGGGCUAUGAUUUAUCAGAGAUUGCAAACUACGCGGGUUACAAGAGCAGGAUGAAGGUUCACGGGGGGGGGUUUUUAACGUUUGGAUACGUGUUAAUAAUCCUUCCGCAAGCAGUCAGUGUCGGAAAGUGUCAUUGAUUGUGCAAGGAUAGCGCUUCUACGAUUCCUGUAGACCGUACACUCGGGCAGGAGCUUUGCCAAAGGGUCCCCAUGCCCCCUAAUAACCCCACAGUUUAAUGUGAAGCUCAAUGUAAUACAUUGGGUAAAAAAACCGAACAACAGUUAACAAUGGAUAUCUUGGUUCUC